AAGUCGUAACAAGGUUUCCGUAGGUGAACCUGCGGAAGGAUCAUUACAGUGUAUCGUCGAUGCCUAGCAUCGUUCGUACCCACCCGUGUUUAUCUUACCUGUUGCUUCGGCAGGCCUGUAGCAUUUAUGCUGCUGCCGGGAGACUGGCUCGCUGUCUGCCGAAGAUCACUAAACUCUUUGAUAAAGAUGAAGUCUGAAGAAUACAGCUUAAUAGCAUAAAAACUUUCAACAACGGAUCUCUUGGUUCC
rnacentral:misc_RNA from 1 species